rnacentral:lncRNA from 1 species
GUCCGCAGCGCACACUGCCGGCCACACCGGGACGUGCAGCCGUGGAUCUUGGGGAGCCGGGGUGCCUCCAGGUCUCUGACACCCGCCCCUGAGCCAUCUCUCACCAGGAUCUGAGCCCUGGUGACACCUGACAGAUGGGGAAUGUAAGCACAGAGUGAGUGGGGGAUCGUCGUGGUCUUCUUCCUGUUCUCUUCUGGAUGGGAACAUUUUCAGAAUGAAAGUUGAAGACAGCCCUCCCACUCUCGGGAUGAGGAACUUUGGGGAAAGAAGCUGCAGAAAGACCCUCGUGGUGGGGGUGCUGCGUCCUCCCCUUCAGCCCCACGGAUCUGUACCCCGGCCUGGGACAGAGCCCCAUUUCCCCUCACCUGAGACAGCUGAGAAUUCCCUGGAGAUGACAAGGAACGUAAGGACUGCUGCCACCACUGACCCAACACCCACGACCGCCCUGCACUCAGCUCCGCUGGAGGACGCCGGUGCUCUGCAGGUGCCGGUUCUCAGAGGGGAGAGGCCAUGGCGUCCUGGGCAAGGAGCUCGAUCUGCUUCCUCCACUCUGCUGACAGCAUCCUUGGAAACCGCGGUUUGGAUUUCCCGCCGUUCGUCGGCUGACUGCCUCCACAGCGGCUCGGCAAGGAGAGACGCGCAGAAGCUCUGGGAACGGGAGCCUGCGAACGGAGUCAAAAACAGGACGGACAAGGAGGCGUACACUGACUGGUGGCGAGGUGAGUGAGAGAAACUGACACUCCACCACAGUUUCACUCCAGCGGAGGACUUUCUGGGCCCGGGCAGUCCUGCGGGAGCAGGGCGCGGUGGCGACUCCAGCCACACAUUCCCCUCUCGGACGGGAUUGGUGAAAAGUGCCUGGCCUGCGUGACGCUGCUGGCGGACUAGGUAGGCUGGCCUAACCCAGAUCCCAGAGCCUGACGGUGGCCCGGAGGGGUGACUCCCGCGUAGGCUGCCUAGUCCGUAACUCCCUGGUGCGCAGUGGUGGGCGGGAACACCUAGCCAGCGCAAUUUGAUCAGGCUGUGGCUGACAGGCAGGGAAGCUGGGCCUCCUAUGUAAGCUUGCAUUUUAUAAGGAACGGAGAAAAUGGGGAAGGGAAGCAACAAGAAAGGCUCCUCGGCCCCCAAUUCUGAGAAACAGGCAAUAGCGGACACUGCACCAAUAGCACUGCACCAAAAGCGUCAUAUAGAGAGCCUCAUAGACCAAUUCAGGAAUGAAGUUAUCAAUGACCUGAAGCUAGAAGUAUGCAGAAUAGUUAGAGAAAUGCUAAGCACCACCCAGGAAAAAACAGAUGGUGGAAUGGAAGAACAGAAAAAGAGGGGAGAGUUGUUUGAUGGAGAAAACAGAGAAAGCAUAGAGUACAUGAAGCAGGUUCAAAGGGACUAUCAAGAAAUUAAGAAGUCUAUCCAAGACUGGCAUAACAGCUUGAAAGAAACUAAGGACAAACUAUGUGAGCUGGAGGGCAGACUUGUAAUAUGGGAGAAUGAAAUGAAAAACUUCUUAAAAAUAACAAAGAAACAAACAGCAAUAAUACAAAGACAAGAAGAUGAUAAGACGAGCCAU